GAUGAACGCUGGCGGCGUGCCUAAUACAUGCAAGUCGAGCGAACAGACGAGGAGCUUGCUCCUCUGACGUUAGCGGCGGACGGGUGAGUAACACGUGGAUAACCUACCUAUAAGACUGGGAUAACUUCGGGAAACCGGAGCUAAUACCGGAUAAUAUAUUGAACCGCAUGGUUCAAUAGUGAAAGACGGUUUUGCUGUCACUUAUAGAUGGAUCCGCGCCGCAUUAGCUAGUUGGUAAGGUAACGGCUUACCAAGGCAACGAUGCGUAGCCGACCUGAGAGGGUGAUCGGCCACACAGGAGCUGAGACACGGUCCAGACUCCUACGGGAGGCAGCAGUAGGGAAUCUUCCGCAAUGGGCGAAAGCCUGACGGAGCAACGCCGCGUGAGUGAUGAAGGUCUUCGGAUCGUAAAACUCUGUUAUUAGGGAAGAACAAAUGUGUAAGUAACUAUGCACGUCUUGACGGUACCUAAGCAGAAAGCCACGGCUAACUACGU
rnacentral:rRNA from 1 species